AUACGUAGGUGGCAAGCGUUGUCCGGAUUUAUUGGGCGUAAAGCGAGCGCAGGCGGUUUCUUAAGUCUGAUGUGAAAGCCCCCGGCUUAACCGGGGAGGGUCAUUGGAAACUGGGAGACUUGAGUGCAGAAGAGGAGAGUGGAAUUCCAUGUGUAGCGGUGAAAUGCGUAGAUAUAUGGAGGAACGCCAGUGGCGAAGGCGACUCUCUGGUCUGUAACUGACGCUGAGGCUCGAAAGCGUGGGGAGCAAACAGGAUUAGAUACCCUGGUAGUCCACGCCGUAAACGAUGAGUGCUAAGUGUUGGAGGGUUUCCGCCCUUCAGUGCUGCAGCUAACGCAUUAAGCACUCCGCCUGGGGAGUACGGCCGCAAGGCUGAAACUCAAAGGAAUUGACGGGG
rnacentral:rRNA from 1 species